AUGUGGUUCGUGUUGUCCAGGAAUUUGGCCUGAAAGUGGCCAAAUGGCCAUGGUCAAAAAUUUCGAGAAAUCAAGAUUUUUCAUCCCAAAUUUACUUCUCAUAUUACCAAUUGGUAUUAUGGUAGAACCUUAACUUUCUUCAUGGUAAAUACGGUUAGCAAAUUUGUUAGUAUUUGGUUAGACUUGUUAGACUUUCUAUUGUAAAAACAGAGUGUGUAAUUUGAAUGUAGUUGGCUAAUAGGCUCUUGCCUAUCACCUGUUCGAUCCUAUGCGUCAAUGAAAGUUAGUAUUAAAACAAGUGAUCUUGGAUGCCAAGUGUUCGAGAUCAACUAUUUAAUGGAUUGCUCAAGUCAGAGAUUUAAGAAAGGUUCCUGCCACUCCAAUGGAGGAGACUGCUGUUCUUGAAAUUAACAGGUCGCGACUAGGUCCAAAGUUGUUGUAGUCAUAGUCCAUCAAUGGCUUCCCAUCCUCAUCAAGGUAUGGAUUGUCUUCAUAUCACACCUUACUCAUUUGGGUAGCUACUGCCAUGUUGUUGGGUGAAAUUGGAAGAGAUUAGAGAGACAUUGAGCUUCGGUGCCUUUGUCGGCUUCUUGGGUAUAUUUCUUCCUUGGUGUUGUUCGCAUAUCAGCUUUCUGAAUUCUAUUUUUUGUGACUUUGAUCAGUGCUUUAUUCUCUGGUGUGGAGGAAAGUUCAGAACUUUAUGCAGUCCAAGUGUUUGACGAAAUGCUCAGCUCAAGUUUGUUUGGUUUUUUUUUUUUUUUUUUUUUUUUUUUUUGUGUUGGUUAUGUUUCCUCACUUUCUCUGAAUUCUUUGAAGAAUUGGAAUGAUUUCUUGCUGCAAUUGUUUAUGUGACUUGUGAAUCAUCUUUUCUAGGUUUCAAAUUGUUUCUUCUGAUAUUGGAGUUCGAUUUUGUGGUGAAUUUUGGUAUUGAAUCAUUCUUUUCA